CCCCCCCUCCCCUCUUUUCCCUUUUCCCUUUUCCCGCCUCCUUCCCUCAUUUCCCCCCCCUUCAUCCCAUGGACAUGGCACGGCCACCUUAAAACGCCGCGCCGCCCCCCUCCUCCCCCGAUCGCCGGGGCCGGUAUGAGUCAGGUGUGAAGCCCCCGCCGGGAGGAGGUCGUUCCCCUCACUGGCUGCAGCCCUGACGCUGGGAUUUUCCUUUUUUUGGCUUUUUUUUUUUUUUUUCGGCCCCACCACCUCCCUCCUUCCCUCCCUCGCUCCCUCCCUCCAGGAAUCCAGCGCUGCACCGAAGCCAGAAGAGAGGGAGCAAAACCCAGCCCAGGCCGAGAGCUGCGUCCAGAAACCAAACCCGCCCUUCGCGUCGCAAAGGAGAAAUUUUUUUUUUUUAAUCAUUAUUAUUAUUAUUUUUAUUUUUAAUACCCCUGACCCGAGCACGGUGGCGGCAGCGGCGCCGGGGCAGGGAGGCUGUCCCGGUUAUUUAUUCUCUCCCCGCAGAGCUGUCCCUCCGGCUCACCAUGAUGUUCCGAGACCAGGUUGGCGUGCUGGCCGGGUGGUUCAAGGGCUGGAACGAGUGCGAGCAGACUGUUGCGCUGCUCUCCCUGCUCAAACGCGUCAGCCGGACCCAGGCUCGCUUCCUCCAGCUCUGCCUCGAGCAUUCCCUGGCAGACUGCACCGAGCUCCACAUCCUCGAAGGGGAGGCCAACAACCCCGGAAUCAUUAACCAGUGGCAGCAGGAAUCCAAGGACAAAGUGAUCUCCCUCUUGUUAACCCACCUGCCUUUACUGAAACCCGGCAACAUCGAGGCGAAAGUCGAGUACAUGAAACUCUUGCCCAAAAUCCUGGCGCACUCCAUCGAGCACAACCAGCACAUCGAGGAGAGCAGGCAGCUGCUCUCCUACGCCUUGAUACACCCUGCCACCUCCCUGGAGGACAGGAGCGCCCUGGCCAUGUGGCUCAACCACCUGGAGGACCGCGCGUCGUCGUCGUCGUCGUCGUCGUCGUCGGGCUUUGGCGGGCAGGGCCGCGGCCGCUCGGACUCGGUGGACUACGGGCAGGCUCACUACUAUCACCAAAGACAGAACUCCGACGACAAACUCAACGGGUGGCAGAACUCCAGGGACUCCGGCAUCAGCGUCAGCGCCUCCAGCUGGCAGGACAAAAGCCUGGCCUGUGAGAACGGCCACCUGCCCCUCUACUCCUCCUCCUCCGUCCCCACCACCAUCAACACCAUCGGCACUAGCACAAGCACCAUUCUCUCAGGCCAGACACACCACAGCCCUUUGAAACGCUCUGUGUCCCUUACCCCACCCAUGAAUGUGCCAAACCAACCUCUAGGACAUGGAUGGAUGUCUCAUGAGGACUUACGAGCUAGAGGACCCCAGUGCAUCCCUUCCGAUCAUGCCCCCCUGUCUCCACAAAGCAGUGUAGCCUCUUCGGGAAGUGGUGGGAGUGAACAUUUAGAAGAUCAGCCUUCUGCUCGUAACACAUUCCAGGAGGAAGGGAGUGGGAUGAAAGAUGUCCCAGCCUGGCUGAAGAGCCUCCGGCUGCACAAGUACGCCGCCCUCUUCUCCCAGAUGACGUACGAGGAGAUGAUGGCCCUCACUGAAUGCCAGCUCGAGGCACAAAAUGUUACCAAAGGCGCAAGACACAAAAUAGUCAUCAGUAUCCAAAAGCUAAAAGAAAGACAAAACCUGCUCAAAUCUCUAGAAGGAGACAUCCUGGAAGGUGGCAACUUGCGUGUCCCGCUGCAGGAGCUACACCAAAUGAUCCUCACCCCCAUCAAAGCCUACUCCUCCCAGAACUCGAGCACGGAGGAGCACAGCCGGGACGUGGAGUCGCACCAGCCCUCCUCCCUGCUGGGCUCGGACAGCCAAGGCUCGGACUGCAAGGACGCCGCGGCCGCCGGGAUGCAGCAGCACCAUCUCCCGGGAUGCGAGGGCGAGUCGGGAGGAGCCCCUUUGCCCGAGGGAGACCUGCCCGGGCAGUUCACCCGAGUGAUGGGGAAAGUCUGCACACAACUUUUAGUUUCCCGACCCGAUGAAGAGAAUAUAAGUUCCUAUUUACAGCUCAUAGACAAAUGUCUAAUCCACGAGGCGUUUACAGAGAUCCAGAAGAAGCGGCUGCUGUCAUGGAAACAGCAGGUGCAGAAACUCUUUCGGUCUUUCCCUCGGAAAUCCCUCCUGGAGCUGUCGGGCUAUCGGCAGCAGAGGAGCCGAGGCUUUGGCCAGUCCAACUCCCUGCCGACCGCCGGAUCCGCGGGGGCAGGGCUGGCACGGAGGAACCCCCGGCAGUUCCAGAUCCCCUCCCGCAACCUCCCCACGGCCCGGCUGGGGCUGCUGGGCCCCACGGGGCUGCUGGGCACCCCCCAGCGCAGCCCUGCCGCCAGCCCCGCCAUCCUCAAGCAAGGCAGACAGAACCUGUGGUUUGCCAACCCUGGGGGCAGUAACAGCAUGCCCAGCCGGAGCCACAGCUCGGUGCAGAGGACGCGCUCGCUGCCGGUCCACACGUCCCCGCAGACCAUGCUGAUGUUUCAGCAGCCAGAGUUCCAGGUACCGGUGACUGAACCUGACAUCAACAACAGGCUGGAGUCCCUGUGCCUGAGCAUGACGGAGCACGCACUCAGCGGUGAGCAUUCCCUCCUCCUGGGGCUCUUCCAGCACGUCCACGCCACCUCUGCUGAGCCCCCCAGCACCUGCCCCGUGCCCCCCAAAAGCUGGGACAGGCUGUGGCUGUGAGAGCAGGACGGCGGCGGGGCCGGACGCAGGGAUGCUCCCGGGGGUGUUCCGAUGGGAAUGUUGGCUUCUCUCAGCGAGGCGGCCGGGGCAGGGGGCAAAGCCGAACGCAGGGAUCGCACCAGCACUAGUGGAGUCCGUGCUAAUUAGCCACUCUUCAGCUUGCUAAUGAUAAUUAGUGUUAGCUCGCUACUCUCGUUAGCUCUCGAUAAAGCCCCUGCUGCCGGCGCUCGGAUGGGUCACAGCCUUUGGAGCGUUGUGCCCUUCCGCCUCCGGAUCCCACCAGGGGUGCCCACAGCUGGGGGCUGAAUCCCUGCCAGGCGCUGUGCCAGGGGCUGUGCCGGGCGCCGUGCCCUGGAGCUGGCAGUGCUCACACGGCCGGGGGUGCCAGCGGAGAGCGGGCACGGGGAGGGAGGAGGAGCGGGGCAAAAACAAGCAGGGAAGAUGAAACGGCAGCAGCAGCAGAGCAGUGGAGAGCCCAGUGCAGCACAGAGCACCGGUGUCACCAGAAGCUCCCGGUGUCCCCUGCCGACGCUCUGGAGCCCCAGGCACGCGGGAUGGCCCCGGCGAUGGGAUGAGCGCGGCCGCCGGCAUCGCCCGGAGUCCCCAGUGACCAGCUCGGGUCCUGCUGCGGAAUCCUGGACUGUGACCCAUGGCUGAGGACAGGAGCCCUCGGAGAGGACCAGUGCCACCAGGCUCCCUGCAGAUGCAACAGCCCUUCCUGGGGAGAGGAACGGGAGAACAAGGACUGUGGGAAGCAGCAGGGCCCUGGCAGCAUCCCUGGCUGGGAAAACAAGGACACUUCUGUCACCCGAAGCGUUUCUCCGGCGUGUGCCCAGCCGAGGCUUAGCUGUCUUGUUCCUCUGCAGGAUGGUGUCGACAGAACCUCCACGAUCUAGAAGGCGUCGCCACGGGGACGCUGGCCGGGACAACAACUGCUGCAGGUCCAGCGGCGAGGUCGGGGCUUGAGGGAGCCUCAGCGAUAGCUUGCAUCCCUUCUCCUCUCUCCUCUCCUCUCUCUCUCUCUCUCUCUCUCCUGUUUUAAUUUUGUGAAUGUGUAGAUUGUCCUUGUGAACAUAUCAUUAGACUUGGAAUUUGUGUUGUCAUUUAUUACAUCCAUGCUAAGGGGGGGGGAAAAGAUGGCAAAAAAAAAAAAAAAUCAAAAUCUCAGCGACGAUGGUGAAGCAGCACGGGGAGCUUGGGGCAGACAUGGAGGAGGAGGAGGAGGAGGAGAGUGCUGACAACGGAGGGUUCGCCGUGGGCAAACCCUGCUCCUGGAGGAGGAUGCCAAGGAGCACGGAACACCACGUGGGGGUGUGUGACCAAAAACCCUUUGGGGAGGAUUCGCCUGCCCUGCCCGGGGCCUUCGGGGCCGGCAGUCCCAUCUCGAGUUUCGCUGCUCUCGGCUGCAGGCUGACCCGGCGGGCCCAGAUUGAAACAGAAAUAAUAAAAUAACCCCAAAGUUUCCUUUCAGUUUAGCCAAGAGAUCUGCAGUGUGGAGGCAGCGUGGUGCUCAGGGCAGUGGAGGGUGCCUGUCCCUGUGCCCCGCUUGGAUUGGGAUGCGGGAUGGAGCGGGGGCAUCUCGCCCAGAGGAGGGUCCCAGGGGGAAUCUGGGAACUGGGGGACACUGGGAGAGUUUCCUGCAUCCUGGCUCCACACAUCUGGCCCAGCCUGCCCAAAUCCAGCCGUAAGGGGCUUUUCCAGCAUGGCCAAUGAGGGAUGAAGGAGCCCCCAAAUAAAACCCAAGUCACAAAGGGCACCAAAAUGCAGCUUCACAGCCUUGUUUUCUUGGCAUUAACCGUGGGGCUGGCAGGGGCUGGGCUGCCCCUCACCCACUGCUGCUUUUGAUAACAGGACCUAAAUUUGGUGUUAAAUUGGUAAAUCUGACCCAGCACUGCUCUGACCUGCAGUGAUGCUCCUGCCGCUCCCGAUCCUGCUCCGAGUCCUCCAAUGAAAUAAUAACAAAUAUAAAAUCAAUUGGUUGAGCUAUGGGUGGCAGCAAUAUUUCCAGAAUGGGCUGUGAGAACACGGGCAGCAUCGUGUGCCAGGAUUAGGGGGAGCCAGAGCAUGGGCAGGGCUGGGAGACGUGUGAAUCCUUUUGUCAUGCAGCGUUUUUAAGUUGUUUUUCUAAAAAAAAAAGAAAUAUAUAUAUAUAUAUGUAUACAGAAACCCAAGUGCCAAAUGCAAUGUUUUAUGUUUGCUGUUCCUUGGUGUCCUGCUUCCCGGCAGACAGGAGGUUGAGGGGGGUGAUGGGGAGGGUGGAGAAGGGAAAACCUGAAGGCCAGGGAGGUUGGGAAGAGGUGUGAGGAGGUGAAGGAGAAGCGGGGUCGGCGCUGGGGACCUGGGUCACCCCCCAGCACCCCCAGCUUGUGAGGUGUGAGCAGAGCCACCGUGGCAGGAGCCUCCCUCAGGGAGACUCCAGUGUAUUUACAGAGCUGAAAUUCUAUUUAUUCCUUCGCUGACUAUGGACACGGAGGUUUUCUGAUUGUUCAGAGAGAUUAUUUUGGAUAUUUUACCUAUUAACUUGCUGUGGCUGGGAACCAUGAUAAUGUCUGUUAUUAACAACCACCAAAUAAUUCAAUUGUUUUAUCCUUUUGAUGUUAAAAAAAAAAAAAAAGAGAAAAAGCUUAUUUUCCAUUGACAGUCUAGAGGUUAAUAACGACUUAGUUGCGUUUGCUGUUUCUUGUUUUGUUUUUUGAGUAAAAACAACAAAAAAAGUGGCUUCAGUUGUGUUCGGGAAGUGCUGCUGGCUCUGGCUGCCGGUGCCAAGUGCGGGCAGCAGAGCUCCAGGGAAAGAAGCUUAAAAGGGUGGGGGGGAAAAAAAAGCUUGAAUCCUAAAAGAAAUAAAAGCUAUUUAUAGAAAGAAAGAAAAAAAAAUCCUCCAACAGUUGCACGAGUGAGGCUGUGAAGUCAAAUAUUCAGUAAUAAAGCGGCAGUGCCUUUCUUUUUGUAUCCGCUGCGACUGUCCCCUCCUGUCCUGCCGGAGAUGUCGCCGCCGCGGGGUCCCGGGGGUCGGCUGGGCAAGUCCCCCCAUCCCGCUGCUCUCCCGGCUCCAGCCCCGGGCCCCGGGACCUUUUCCUGGUGCUGUUCCCCCGAGCCGGCCCCGGGGAGCCCGGCCAGCCCGGCGCGCACCUCGGGGACACGAGCCUGUCCCUUCGGUGCCAUCCCCAGGGACACCCCGAGCUCAGCUCAGCAAAACCCUCCAAGGGGUUUAGGGGUGGCAGCAUCCAGCAGGAAAAUCCCAAACUGUGAUGGGGGUCAGCGCUUAGGGGAAGGAUUUCUGUUGUCGCCUUUCUCCAUGUCGGGUUUGGCUUUGGGAAUGUGCCUGGUGGAAACAGGUCCCGCAGACGUCUAUAAUUUGCACACAGCGACGAUAACACUAAAGUUGAUUUUAUACGAGUCAUCAAGAGUUUGCAAAGUGAGUUUUAUUUUUUGUAUUCCUUUAUCUUUACUUAAAGGUGAAUGUGUAUUCCUCUGGGAGGAAUAGGAAGAAAAAAAAAAAAAAAAAGAAAAAUACAUAAAAAAACAGGAAUGUUAAUAAUGUUAAACAGAAUACUUCCUCCCUUAUUAAUAUAUAUAACCCUGAUGUAUUUAUGCCUAUUGUAAGCUGACUUUAAAGAGCUUUGACCUCUCUUCUGUUGCAUGCCGUUCCCGGGCAGCCUCUCCUUGUCCAUGCAUGCCUUUUGUCCUGGUUUUUCUGUACAAAGUUAGUGCACAAAAGAACUAUUUUUGCCUAGUUAAUGUUGCCGAGCAAUGCCUAUUUUUUAAAUUUUAAUUCCUUUUUUUUUUUUUUUUUUGGUCAUAUACGGCAAUAGCAUGUUUGUUACAUGUAAAAGCUUCCCGAUAUAAAGAAAUACUAAUGUUUGGAGAUGCCAGUCUUUGCAAGUGUACAGUUUUCCAAUGUUGUUCCCAGUGAAACACCCUCGUGAUUUCCACUUGCUCCGAUGUAUUUAUUACUCAUUUCCUCCCGUGUAACUAGGAACCAUGGCUAUAUUUCAUAUCUGCUCUAUAUUGAAAGUGAAGGGAGAUGAUUAAUACAAGGUUUUGUAACA